CCUACGGGAGGCAGCAGUGAGGAAUAUUGGUCAAUGGGCGCGAGCCUGAACCAGCCAAGUAGCGUGAAGGAUGACUGCCCUACGGGUUGUAAACUUCUUUUAUAAAAGAAUAAAGUGAGGCACGCGUACCUUUUUGUAAGUAUUUUACGAAUAAGGAUCGGCUAACUCCGUGCCAGCAGCCGCGGUAAUACGGAGGAUCCGAGCGUUAUCCGGAUUUAUUGGGUUUAAAGGGAGCGUAGGCGGUUGGUUAAGUCAGAUGUGAAAGUUUGCGGCUCAACUGUAAAAUUGCAACUGAUACUGGCAGUCUAGAGUACAGUUGAGGUAGGCGGAAUGUGUGGUGUAGCGGUGAAAUGCUUAGAUAUCACGAAGAACUCCGAUUGCGAAGGCAGCUUACCAAGCUACCUCUGACGUUGAUGCUCGAAAGUGUGGGGAUCAAACAGGAUUAGAUACCCUUGUAGUC
rnacentral:rRNA from 1 species